rnacentral:rRNA from 1 species
GUGCCAGCAGCCGCGGUAAUGCGGAGGGUGCAAGCGUUAUCCGGAUUUAUUGGGUUUAAAGGGUCCGUAGGCGGAUGCGUAAGUCAGGGGUGAAAUCUCACAGCUCAACUGUGAAACUGCCAUUGAUACUGCGUGUCAUGAGUGAGGUUGAAGUAGCUGGAAUAAGUAGUGUAGCGGUGAAAUGCAUAGAUAUUACUUAGAACACCAAUUGCGAAGGCAGGUUACUAAGUCUCAACUGACGCUGAUGGACGAAAGCGUGGGGAGCGAGCAGGAUUAGAUACCCUGGUAGUCCACGCUGUAAACGAUGCUAACUCGUUUUUGGGGAUUUAUCUUCAGAGACUAAGCGAAAGUGAUAAGUUAGCCACCUGGGGAGUACGAACGCAAGUUUGAAACACAAAGGAAUUGACGGGGGCCCGCACAAGCGGUGGAUUAUGUGGUUUAAUUCGAUGAUACGCGAGGAACCUUACCAAGGCUUAAAUGGGAAUUGAUCGGUUUAGAAAUAGACCUUCCUUCGGGCA